rnacentral:lncRNA from 1 species
AGUUGGUUGACUAUCCUGCCUGAGAUACAUGCUGAUAGUUGGGACUCUUCCUUAGGUGGUUAAGAUUUAUGCACUAUCUUGCUUGAGCUUCAUAUUUAUGAUUUAUUGAACAUGGUUAAGAUCUGCUUGAGAGAUUCUUAAUCAGGUUCGAGUGAAGUAGUAUUAAGGAAUUGAAACAAUUGAUUGCAUUUGGGUAAAUGAAACUCUGUUUCCAUCCUGCUAAUAUCCCAACUGUUGUUUUAUGUUAGUGGAGAUUAAUCCAUCCCCGUUGAUGAGGCUAAUUUUCAUGUUAAUUUGAUUUGUUAUGUAUAAAUUGGCGAUUGCUGAUUUCGAAUUCUUGUAAUAAUUUGGGCAGAAGCUUAAUUGCAAUUGAUGAUUUCGGUAUUAUUGCAAUAUUGGAGAAGCUCAUUUGCAAUUGAUUUAUUUCACAUGCUGCAUAUUUUGUUGAACACUUGGCAUGGUUUGUGAAUUAAUGAUUUGUGAAAUUGAUUUAUGUGCUUGUUUCCCAUCUAAGGAUAUGAAAGGAAGGAAUGCUGGAAUUUGUCACAGUUGUAGAAGCAAUGAGCAUUUUUUUAUUGAAUGCAAUAGAAAACGUCGUUGCCCAUGGUGUGCACAUGGAUUUCAAAAAUGUUUUGAGGUGGAAAGACAAACGCCUAACAAAGGGCGAUUAUUCAAUACAUGCAGUAGUAACUGUGGAUUUUUUGAAUGGGUCGAACAAGGAGAGUCAAGUGGAGAAUCAACUACUGCUAAUGUAGCACUCAAUGCUGUGGCAACUGAGGAAGUCAAAGAUUUGUCAAGUAUGUUCAACACUCUUGCUCGAAUAUCCGAUGAACGAGACUUGGAGAUUAACUUGAACAUUACAUUUCGCAAGGGAAAAGGAAGUUCGGAAGGCAACGGGAAAGCAAAGGAGGCAUCUUGAGUAGUUGUAUUGCCUUGAACGUGUUAGUCGAUUUAUGUUUGUACUAGAACAUAUGAAUGACGUAAGUAGUAUUAAUUUUCCAUCGGAAAAUGGGUGUAAUGCAAUUUAGGUUUAUGUUUCUACUGCAGAAGAUGAUUUAAACUGACUUCUGGUUGGUAUAGUUUCUGAUUUAAAUUUCGAGUUCAUGGCAGUUUAUUGUUCAUUGAA